GGUUAAGUUAAUAAGGGCGCACGGUGGAUGCCUUGGCACUAGGAGCCGAAGAAGGACGUGACAAACGACGAUAUGCCUUGGGUAGCUGUAAGUAAGCGAUGAUCCAGGGAUUUCCGAAUGGGGGAACCCAACAGGUACUACCUGUUACCCGCAUCUGUUAAGGAUGUGUGGAGGAAGACGCAGUGAACUGAAACAUCUAAGUAGCUGCAGGAAGAGAAAGCAAAAGCGAUUGCCUUAGUAGCGGCGAGCGAAACGGCAGAAGGGCAAACCGAAGAGUUUACUCUUCGGGGUUGUAGGACUGCAAUGUGGACUCAAAGAUUAUAGAAGAAUGAUUUGGGAAGAUCAGCCAAAGAGAGUAAUAGCCUCGUAUUUAAAAUAGUCUUUGUACCUAGCAGUAUCCUGAGUACGGCGGGACACGUGAAAUCCCGUCGGAAUCUGGGAGGACCAUCUCCCAACCCUAAAUACUCCCUAGUGACCGAUAGUGAACCAGUACCGUGAGGGAAAGGUGAAAAGCACCCCGGGAGGGGAGUGAAAUAGAACCUGAAACCGUGUGCCUACAACAAGUUCGAGCCCGUUAAUGGGUGAGAGCGUGCCUUUUGUAGAAUGAACCGGCGAGUUACGUUAUGAUGCGAGGUUAAGUUGAAGAGACGGAGCCGUAGGGAAACCGAGUCUGAAUAGGGCGCCUUAGUAUCAUGACGUAGACCCGAAACCAUGUGACCUACCCAUGAGCAGGUUGAAGGUGCGGUAAGACGCACUGGAGGACCGAACCAGGGCACGUUGAAAAGUGCUUGGAUGACUUGUGGGUAGCGGAGAAAUUCCAAACGAACUUGGAGAUAGCUGGUUCUCUCCGAAAUAGCUUUAGGGCUAGCGUCGACAUUAGAGAUUCUUGGAGGUAGAGCACUGUUUGGGUGAGGGGUCCAUCCCGGAUUACCAAUCUCAGAUAAACUCCGAAUGCCAAUGAAUUAUGGUCGGCAGUCAGACUGCGAGUGCUAAGAUCCGUAGUCGAAAGGGAAACAGCCCAGACCACCAGCUAAGGUCCCAAAAUAAUUGUUAAGUGGAAAAGGAUGUGGGGUUGCACAGACAACUAGGAUGUUAGCUUAGAAGCAGCUAUUCAUUCAAAGAGUGCGUAAUAGCUCACUAGUCGAGUGACCCUGCGCCGAAAAUGUACCGGGGCUAAAACAAUUUACCGAAGCUGUGGAUACCUUUAUAGGUAUGGUAGGAGAGCGUUCUAUGUGUGGAGAAGGUAUACCGUGAGGAGUGCUGGAACGCAUAGAAGUGAGAAUGCCGGUAUGAGUAGCGAAAGACAGGUGAGAAUCCUGUCCACCGUAAGACUAAGGUUUCCAGGGGAAGGCUCGUCCGCCCUGGGUUAGUCGGGACCUAAGGAGAGACCGAAAGGUGUAUCCGAUGGACAACAGGUUGAUAUUCCUGUACUAGAGUAUGUAGUGAUGGAGGGACGCAGUAGGCUAACUAAAGCAGACGAUUGGAAGUGUCUG
rnacentral:rRNA from 1 species